rnacentral:rRNA from 1 species
CCCUUAGAUGUUCUGGGCCGCACGCGUGCUACACUGAGUGGAUCAGCGGGUCAGGUUGCGCGAAAGUGUUUCCUAAUCUUUAAAUCCGCUCGUGAUGGGGAUUGACGGUUGCAAUUUUCCGUCAUGAACGAGGAAUACCUUGUAAGCGCGGGUCAUCAUCCCGCGCUGAAUACGUCCCUGCCCUUUGUACACACCGCCCGUCGCUCCUACCGGUUGAGUGGUCCGGUGAGGCUUUGGGAUCUGAGCGGAAAGAGCGUUUCGCUGUUUCUGCUCGGAAAACUCAGUCGAACCUUAUCAUUUAGAGGAAGGAGAAGUCGUAACA